rnacentral:rRNA from 1 species
GAGUUUGAUCAUGGCUCAGGAUGAACGCUGGCGGCGUGCUUAACACAUGCAAGUCGAACGAAGCGGGAAGAAAGAAGUUUUUCGAAAUGGAUUUUUUCUUUGCUUAGUGGCGGACGGGUGCGUAACACGUAGGUAACCUGCCCUGUGCUUGGGAAUAACUCCGGGAAACCGGUGCUAAUGCCGAAUAAUAUCGCCUGUCGGCAUCGAGAGGCGAUCAAAGAAUUUCGGCACAGGAUGGGCCUGCGCCGGAUUAGCUGGUUGGUGAGGUAACGGCUCACCAAGGCGACGAUCCGUAGCCGACCUGAGAGGGUGAUCGGCCACACUGGAACUGAGACACGGUCCAGACUCCUACGGGAGGCAGCAGUGGGGAAUAUUGCACAAUGGGGGAAACCCUGAUGCAGCAACGCCGCGUGAGCGAUGAAGGCUUUCGAGUCGUAAAGCUCUGUCCUAUGGGAAGAUGAUGACG